UACGGAGGGGGCUAGCGUUGUUCGGAAUUACUGGGCGUAAAGCGUACGUAGGCGGCUUUGUAAGUUAGAGGUGAAAUCCCGGGGCUCAACCUCGGAACUGCCUUUGAUACUGCAAAUCUCGAGUCCGGAAGAGGUGAGUGGAAUUCCUAGUGUAGAGGUGAAAUUCGUAGAUAUUAGGAAGAACACCAGUGGCGAAGGCGGCUCACUGGUCCGGUACUGACGCUGAGGUGCGAAAGCGUGGGGAGCAAACAGG
rnacentral:rRNA from 1 species